GCUGACUUUUGGUUUCUUGAGCAGCAAUUUCCUGCAUGUUUUCAGGGUCUGAGUUGGUUUUGCCUUCUUCCUUCCCAAAUUUUGUAUUCUGACGCCAUACAAACAAGAGUUUGGGCAGAGCAGCCAUUUUGUAAUGAAAAACACAGCAAAUAGGCAUUUGAAGCUUAGAAAUCUACAGGUAACAUGACCAAGGUGAGGUUUUGUGUUUUGGAAAAUCAAAUGGAACACGUUGGCUGAGGUGACAGAUAUAAAUUGCCUCCAAACUGAGUUUCACUGCGAUUUUCAGGUGAAUUCAGUCACAAUUCCACAGGCAGUCAGCUGGAGGGGUGGAUGAACUGGGAACAGCUGGUAUCCUUGCGAAUAAAUCCAGCCCAAUAUCAUUAUGGAUUCUUGCAUUUCUUUGUCUUUUUUCUCAUUUGUCUUAUUUAUCAUGGUUUGUAAUGAAUUUUCUGAUGUCAGCUGUGGUUUUGAAGCUGCAAUAUGGAGUUCAGGGCACCGGAGGAAUGGCCUUUUUCCAUCAGGGCACAGCUGUUGGCUUGCUCCAAUUCUGGCUUGCUGUCAUUAUUUUGGGAGCCUCAGCUGACUUUUGGUUUCUUGAGUGGAAAUUUCCUAAAUGUUUUCUGGGUCUGAGUUGGUUUUGCCUUCUUCCUUCCCAAAUUUUGUAUUCUGACGGCAUACAAACAAGAGUUUGGACAGAGUAGCCAUUAUGGAAUGAAAAACACAACCAAUAGGCGUUUGAAGCUUAGAAAUCUACAGGUAACACAACCAAGGUGAGUUUUUGUGUUUUGGAAAGUCAAAUGGAACACUUUGGCUAGGUGACAGAUAUUAAUUGCCUCCAAACUGAGUUUCACUGCGAUAUUCAGGUUAAUUCAGUCAGAAUUCCACAGGCAGUCACCUGGAGGGGUAGAUGAAUCCGGGAACAGCCGGUUUCCUUGCGACUAAAUCAAGCCCAAUAUCAUUAUGGAUUCUUGCAUUUCUUUGGCUCUUAUUUUUCUUAUUUAUCAUGGUUUGUAAUGAAUUUUUUGAUGUGCGCUUUGGUUUUUAGGCUGGCAUAUGGAGUUCAGGGCACAAGAGGAAUGGUCAUUAUCAAUCAGGGCAUAGCUGUUGGCUUGCUCCAAUUCUGGCUUGCUGUCAUUGUUUUGGGUGCCUCAGCCGAUUUGUGGUUUCUUGAGCGGCAUUUUCCUAAAUGUUUUCUGGGUCUGAGUUGAUUUUGCCUUCUUCCUUCCCAAAUUUUGUAUUCUGAUGCAAUACAAACAAGAGUUUCGGCAGAGUAGCCAUUAUGAAAUAAAAAACACAACAAACAAGCAUUUCAAGGUUAUACAUGUACAGAAAACACGACCAAGGUGAGUUUUUGUGUUUUGGAAAAUCAAAUGGAACACUUUGACUGAGGUGACAGAUAUUAAUUGCCUCCAAACUGAGUUUCACUGCGAUGUUCAGGUUAAUUCAGUCGAAUUCCACAGGUAGCCAGAUGGAGGGGUGGAUGAAUCUGGGAACAGCCGGUUUCCUUGCGACUGAAUCAAGCCCAAUAUCAUUAUGGAUUCUUGCAUUUCUUUGGCUUUUUUCUCAUUUUUCUUAUUUAUGAUGGUUUGUAAUGAAUUUUCUGAUGUGAGCUUUGGUUUUGAGUCUGCAAGAUGGAGUUCAGGGCACCGGAGGAAUGGCCAUAUUCAAUCAGGGCACAGACCUUUGCUUGCUCCAAUUCUGGCUUACUGUCAUUGGUUUGGGGGCCUCAGCUGAGUUUGCUUUCUUGAGCGGCAAGUUCCUAAAUGUUUUCUGGGUCUGAGUUGGUUUUGCCUUCUUCCUUCAAAUGUUGCUUCUGACGCAAUACAAACAAGAGUUUAGACAGAGUAGCCAUAUUGAAAUAAAAAACACAACAAAUAGGCGUUUGAAGCUUAGACAUCUACUGGUAACAUGACCAAGGUGAGUUUUUGUGUUUUGGAAUAUAAAAUGGAACACUUUGGCUGUGGUGACAGAUAUUAAUUGCCUCCAAACUGAGUUUCACUGUGAUUUUCAGGUUAAUUCAGUCAGAAUUCCACAGGCAGUCAGCUGGAGGGGUGGAUGAAUCUGGGAACAACCGGUUUCCUUGCGACUAAAUCAAACCUAAUAUCAUUAUGGAAUCUUGCAUUUCUUUGGAUUUAUUCUCAUUUUUCUUAUUUAUCAUGGUGUGUAAUGAAUUUUCUGAUGUGAGCUUUGGUUUUGAGUCUGGAAGAUGGAGUUCAGGGCAGAAGAGGAUGAAUCUUUUUCAAUCAGGGCACAGCUCUUUGCUUGCUCCAAUUCUGGUUUAAUGUAAUUGGUUUGGGUACCUCUGCUGACUUUUGGUUUCUUGAGCGGCAAUUUCCUAAAUGUUUUCUGGGUCUGAGUUGGUUUUGCCUUCUUCCUUGUCAAAUUUUGUAUUCUGACGCAAUACAAAAAAGAGUUUGGUUAAAGUAGCCAUUAUGAAAUAAAAACCACAACAAAUAUGCUUUUGAAGCUUAGAAAUCUACAAGUAACUCGACCAUGGUGAGUUUUUGUGUUUUGGAAAAUCAAAUGGAACACUUUGGCUGAGGUGACAGAUAUUAAUUGCCUCCAAACUGAGUUUCACUGUGAUUUUCAGGUUAAUGCAGUCAAAAUUCCACAGGUAGUCAGCUGGAGGGGGGGAUGAAUCUGGGAAGAGCUGAUUUCCUUGAGACUAAAUCCAGCCCAAUAUCAUUAUGGAUUCUUGCAUUUCUUUGUCUUUUUUCUCAUUUGUCUUAUUUAUCAUGGUUUGUAAUGAAUUUUCUGAUGUCAGCUUUGGUUUUGAAGCUGCAAUAUGGAGUUCAGGGCACCGGAGGAAUGGCCUUUUUCCAUCAGGGCACAGCUGUUGGCUUGCUCCAAUUCUGGCUUGCUGUCAUUAUUUUGGGAGCCUCAGCUGACUUUUGGUUUCUUGAGUGGAAAUUUCCUAAAUGUUUUCUGGGUCUGAGUUGGUUUUGCCUUCUUCCUUACCAAAUUUUGUAUUCUGACGGCAUACAAACAAGAGUUUGGACAGAGUAGCCAUUAUGGAAUGAAAAACACAACCAAUAGGCGUUUGAAGCUUAGAAAUCUACAGGUAACACAACCAAGGUGAGUUUUUGUGUUUUGGAAAGUCAAAUGGAACACUUUGGCUAGGUGACAGAUAUUAAUUGCCUCCAAACUGAGUUUCACUGCGAUAUUCAGGUUAAUUCAGUCAGAAUUCCACAGGCAGUCACCUGGAGGGGUAGAUGAAUCCGGGAACAGCCGGUUUCCUUGCGACUAAAUCAAGCCCAAUAUCAUUAUGGAUUCUUGCAUUUCUUUGGCUCUUAUUUUUCUUAUUUAUCAUGGUUUGUAAUGAAUUUUCUGAUGUGCGCUUUGGUUUUUAGGCUGGCAUAUGGAGUUCAGGGCACAAGAGGAAUGGUCAUUUUCAAUCAGGGCAUAGCUGUUGGCUUGCUCCAAUUCUGGCUUGCUGUCAUUGUUUUGGGUGCCUCAGCCGAUUUGUGGUUUCUUGAGCGGCAUUUUCCUAAAUGUUUUCUGGGUCUGAGUUGAUUUUGCCUUCUUAUUCCCAAAUUUGGUAUUCUGAUGCAAUACAAACAAGAGUUUCGGCAGAGUAGCCAUUAUGAAAUAAAAAACACAACAAACAAGCAUUUCAAGGUUAUACAUGUACAGAAAACACGACCAAGGUGAGUUUUUGUGUUUUGGAAAAUCAAAUGGAACACUUUGACUGAGGUGACAGAUAUUAAUUGCCUCCAAACUGAGUUUCACUGCGAUGUUCAGGUUAAUUCAGUCGAAUUCCACAGGUAGCCAGAUGGAGGGGUGGAUGAAUCUGGGAACAGCCGGUUUCCUUGCGACUGAAUCAAGCCCAAUAUCAUUAUGGAUUCUUGCAUUUCUUUGGCUUUUUUCUCAUUUUUCUUAUUUAUGAUGGUUUGUAAUGAAUUUUCUGAUGUGAGCUUUGGUUUUGAGUCUGCAAGAUGGAGUUCAGGGCACCGGAGGAAUGGCCAUAUUCAAUCAGGGCACAGACCUUUACUUGCUCCAAUUCUGGCUUACUGUCAUUGGUUUGGGGGCCUCAGCUGAGUUUGCUUUCUUGAGCGGCAAGUUCCUAAAUGUUUUCUGGGUCUGAGUUGGUUUUGCCUUCUUCCUUCAAAUGUUGCUUCUGACGCAAUACAAACAAGAGUUUAGACAGAGUAGCCAUAUUGAAAUAAAAAACACAACAAAUAGGCGUUUGAAGCUUAGACAUCUACUGGUAACAUGACCAAGGUGAGUUUUUGUGUUUUGGAAUAUAAAAUGGAACACUUUGGCUGUGGUGACAGAUAUUAAUUGCCUCCAAACUGAGUUUCACUGUGAUUUUCAGGUUAAUUCAGUCAGAAUUCCACAGGCAGUCAGCUGGAGGGGUGGAUGAAUCUGGGAACAACCGGUUUCCUUGCGACUAAAUCAAACCUAAUAUCAUUAUGGAAUCUUGCAUUUCUUUGGAUUUAUUCUCAUUUUUCUUAUUUAUCAUGGUGUGUAAUGAAUUUUCUGAUGUGAGCUUUGGUUUUGAGUCUGGAAGAUGGAGUUCAGGGCAGAAGAGGAUGAAUCUUUUUCAAUCAGGGCACAGCUCUUUGCUUGCUCCAAUUCUGGUUUAAUGUAAUUGGUUUGGGUACCUCUGCUGACUUUUGGUUUCUUGAGCGGCAAUUUCCUAAAUGUUUUCUGGGUCUGAGUUGGUUUUGCCUUCUUCCUUGUCAAAUUUUGUAUUCUGACGCAAUACAAAAAAGAAGUUUGGUUAAAGUAGCCAUUAUGAAA